rnacentral:rRNA from 1 species
CCUACGGGUGGCAGCAGUGGGGAAUAUUGGGCAAUGGGCGCAAGCCUGACCCAGCAACGCCGCGUGAAGGAAGAAGGCUUUCGGGUUGUAAACUUCUUUUGUCAGGGAAGAGUAGAAGACGGUACCUGACGAAUAAGCCACGGCUAACUACGUGCCAGCAGCCGCGGUAAUACGUAGGUGGCAAGCGUUGUCCGGAUUUACUGGGUGUAAAGGGCGUGUAGCCGGGUUGACAAGUCAGAUGUGAAAUCCUGCGGCUUAACCGCAGAACUGCAUUUGAAACUGUUUUUCUUGAGUACCGGAGAGGUCAUCGGAAUUCCUUGUGUAGCGGUGAAAUGCGUAGAUAUAAGGAAGAACACCAGUGGCGAAGGCGGAUGACUGGACGGCAACUGACGGUGAGGCGCGAAAGCGUGGGGAGCAAACAGGAUUAGAUACCCCAGUAGUC